rnacentral:rRNA from 1 species
AUUGAACGCUGGCGGCAGGCCUAACACAUGCAAGUCGAACGGUAACAGGAAGAAUCUUGCUUCUUUGCUGACGAGUGGCGGACGGGUGAGUAAUGUCUGGGAAACUGCCUGAUGGAGGGGGAUAACUACUGGAAACGGUAGCUAAUACCGCAUAACGUCGCAAGACCACAGAGGGGGACCUUCGUGCCUCUUGCCAUCGGAUGUGCCCAGAUGGGAUUAGCUGGUAGGUGGGGUAACGGCUCACCUAGGCGACGAUCCCUAGCUGGUCUGAGAGGAUGACCAGCCACACUGGAGCUGAGACACGGUCCAGACUCCUACGGGAGGCAGCAGUGGGGAAUAUUGCACAGUGGGCGGAAGCCUGAUGCAGCCAUGCCGCGUGUAUGAAGAAGGCCUUCGGGUUGUAAAGUACUUUCAGCGGGGAGGAAGGGAGUAAAGUUAAUACCUUUGCUCAUUGACGUUACCCGCAGAAGAAGCACCGGCUAACUCCGUG